AACUUUUGACAACGGAUCUCUUGGCUCUCGCAACGAUGAAGAACGCAGCGAAAUGCGAUACGUAAUGUGAAUUGCAGAAUUCCGUGAAUCAUCGAAUCUUUGAACGCACCUUGCGCUCUCUGGUACUCCGGAGAGCAUGCCUGUUUGAGAAUC
rnacentral:rRNA from 1 species